GCGAGUUCACAAAAAAGAGUCUGCCCUAGAGAUUUCCUUGAGAGGGACCUGGUAUUGAAAAAGAUCCUUCCCACAAAAAAAAACUUUAUUCCAAGUUGGGAAGGACCUUAUGUUGAAGGCCUUAUCUGGAAAUGCGUCGAUUAGAAGGGAUAAUAAGGAUAUUCCUAAUCUUAUGAGUUCAAAAAAAAAGGGGGGUCAAAAUCGAAAUAAA
rnacentral:lncRNA from 1 species